AUUCUGCCCAUGCGGGGAAGGAUGAGAAGCUUCGACCAAGGUUCGACUCGAGCGCCAGCGAGAGAGCGUUGCCGCAGGCAACG
rnacentral:sRNA from 1 species